UUUGAUAUCACGUUUUGAUUGUUGUUAUGGUUGUUGCAAUGUGAUAGAACUCUCGUGUGUUUGCUUGCUUAUAUAGAAAAAACCUUGCCACGUUUCUGCCAAGAUUUGCCACGAUAUUUGCUACAAUUUUUUCUAAGAAAUCCCACUAAAAUUGCUACGGUUUUUCUACGAUUCUUUUCGUGGCAAAUAUUAGAAUCUUUUCUGCACCGAAUCAGACGGAUGUGAUUGCACUAAGAAAGCUUGCCACGAAAUGCUUCAGUUUUUUGUAUUUGUCACUGCCUUAUGUGCAGGAUUGGAUUGAUGGGAUUUUGUUUCGGUGGGCUAGCCACGGCUUUGCUACGAUUCUAUUCGUGGCAAUCUUUUUUUUUGUUUUUUUCUGGCUGACUAAGAUAAAAUAAUAAUAUAUGUCGAUACCCACAAUUAAAACAUUGCAAAACGUAGCAAUUAAGUGCCACGAAUACAUUCGUAGCAAUUUCGUAGCAAUCUUUGCUACGUUUUGCCAGCAAAGUGCCAUGUUUUUGUUUUCGUAGCAUAUCGUAGGUGCAUUAGCUUUUACGUUUUUGCCACGAAAUUCACGUGGCAUGUUCGUGGCUGUGGCCUUGUUUUUUUUUUACCAGUGGACAGUGACUUGUUUUGAGAAGUACAGUGACUGUUGCUGUACCAAGCAAAAUAAAAUC
rnacentral:lncRNA from 1 species